UACGUAGGGGGCAAGCGUUACUCGGAAUUACUGGGCGUAAAGCGUGCGUAGGCGGUUUGUUAAGUCUGUCGUGAAAGCCCCGGGCUCAACCUGGGAAUGGCGAGGGAUACUGGCUCGCUAGAGUGCGGUAGAGGAGAGUGGAAUUCCCGGUGUAGCAGUGAAAUGCGUAGAGAUCGGGAGGAACAUCAGUUGCGAAGGCGGCUCUCUGGACCAGCACUGACACUGAGGCACGAAAGCGUGGGGAGCAAACAGG
rnacentral:rRNA from 1 species